AGAGUUUGAUCCUGGCUCAGAUUGAACGCUGGCGGCAGGCCUAACACAUGCAAGUCGAACGGUAGCACAGAGGAGCUUGCUCCUUGGGUGACGAGUGGCGGACGGGUGAGUAAUGUCUGGGAAACUGCCCGAUGGAGGGGGAUAACUACUGGAAACGGUAGCUAAUACCGCAUAACGUCGCAAGACCAAAGAGGGGGACCUUCGGGCCUCUUGCCAUCGGAUGUGCCCAGAUGGGAUUAGCUAGUAGGUGGGGUAACGGCUCACCUAGGCGACGAUCCCUAGCUGGUCUGAGAGGAUGACCAGCCACACUGGAACUGAGACACGGUCCAGACUCCUACGGGAGGCAGCAGUGGGGAAUAUUGCACAAUGGGCGCAAGCCUGAUGCAGCCAUGCCGCGUGUAUGAAGAAGGCCUUCGGGUUGUAAAGUACUUUCAGCGAGGAGGAAGGCAUUAAGGUUAAUAACCUUAGUGAUUGACGUCACUCGCAGAAGAAGCACCGGCUAACUCCGUGCCAGCCGCCGCGGUAAAAGGG
rnacentral:rRNA from 1 species